GAUGAACGCUGGCGGCGUGCCUAAUACAUGCAAGUCGAGCGAACAGACGAGGAGCUUGCUCCUCUGACGUUAGCGGCGGACGGGUGAGUAACACGUGGAUAACCUACCUAUAAGACUGGGAUAACUUCGGGAAACCGGAGCUAAUACCGGAUAAUAUAUUGAACCGCAUGGUUCAAUAGUGAAAGACGGUUUUGCUGUCACUUCUAGAUGGAUCCGCGCCGCAUUAGCUAGUUGGUAAGGUAACGGCUUACCAAGGCGACGAUGCGUAGCCGACCUGAGAGGGUGAUCGGCCACACUGGAGCUGAGACACGGUCCAGACUCCUACGGGAGGCAGCAGUAGGGAAUCUUCCGCAAUGGGCGAAAGCCUGACGGAGCAACGCCGCGUGAGUGAUGAAGGUCUUCGGAUCGUAAAACUCUGUUAUGAGGGAAGAACAAAUGUGUAAGUAACUAUGCACGUCUUGACGGUACCUAAUCAGAAAGCCACGGCUAACUACGUG
rnacentral:rRNA from 1 species